rnacentral:rRNA from 1 species
CCUUUGGAAAUGCUAGUCUAAGCGUUUAGGCAGUUACGGUAGGCAAAUCCGCUGUAACGCUAAUGUUGAGGCGUGAUGGGGAAGGCCCUUGAGGCUGAAGUACAUGAUUCCAUGCUUCCAAGAAAAGCAUCUAGAGAGAGAAGUAGUGCCCGUACCGCAAACCGACACAGGUAGAUGAGGAGAGAAUCCUAAGGCCGGCGGAAGAAUUGCAGUUAAGGAACUAGGCAAAUUGACCCCGUAAGUUAGCGAGAAGGGGUGCCUGCGAGAGCAGGCCGCAGAGAAUAGGCCCAAGCAACUGUUUAGCAAAAACACAGGUCUCUGCUAAAGCGCAAGCUGAUGUAUAGGGGCUGACGCCUGCCCGGUGCUGGAAGGUUAAGGGGAACACUUAGCGCAAGCGAAGGUGUGAACUUAAGCCCCAGUAAACGGCGGCCGUAACGAUAACGGUCCUAAGGUAGCGAAAUUCCUUGUCAGGUAAGUUCUGACCCGCACGAAUGGCGUAAUGACUUGGGCACUGUCUCAACUGCAAAUCCGGCGAAGUUGUAGUGCGAGUGAAGAUGCUCGCUACCCGCGAUUGGACGGAAAGACCCCGUAGAGCUUUACUGUAGCUUAGCAUUGAAUUCCGGUAUUGUCUGUACAGGAUAGGUGGGAGACUGGGAAACUAGGGCGUCAGCCUUAGUGGAGUCGUCCUUGGGAUACCACCCUGACAGUACUGGGGUUCUAACAGGACGCCAUGAAUCUGGUGACUGGACAUUGUUAGGUGGGCAGUUUGACUGGGGCGGUCGCCUCCUAAAAAGUAACGGAGGCGCCCAAAGGUUCCCUCAGAACGGUCGGAAAUCGUUCGUAGAGUGCAAAGGCAGAAGGGAGCCUGACUGCGAGACCUACAAGUCGAGCAGGGACGAAAGUCGGGCUUAGUGAUCCGGUGGUACCUCGUGGGAGGGCCAUCGCUCAACGGAUAAAAGCUACCUCGGGGAUAACAGGCUGAUCUCCCCCAAGAGUCCACAUCGACGGGGAGGUUUGGCACCUCGAUGUCGGCUCGUCGCAUCCUGGGGCUGUAGUAGGUCCCAAGGGUUGGGCUGUUCGCCCAUUAAAGCGGCACGCGAGCUGGGUUCAGAACGUCGUGAGACAGUUCGGUCCCUAUCCGUCGCGGGCGUAGGAAAUUUGAGAGGAGCUGUCCUUAGUACGAGAGGACCGGGAUGGACUGACCUCUGGUGCACCAGUUGUUCUGCCAAGAGCAUGGCUGGGUAGCUAAGUCGGGAAGGGAUAAACGCUGAAAGCAUCUAAGCGUGAAGCCUCCCUCAAGAUGAGAUUUCCCAUAGCAUAAGCUAGUAAGACCCCUUGAAGAACACGAGGUUGAUAGGUCAGAGGUGUAAGUGUGGUAACAUAUUUAGCUGACUGAUACUAAUAGGUCGAGGGCUUGACCAG